rnacentral:rRNA from 1 species
GAUGAACGCUGGCGGCGUGCCUAAUACAUGCAAGUCGAGCGAACAGACGAGGAGCUUGCUCCUCUGACGUUAGCGGCGGACGGGUGAGUAACACGUGGAUAACCUACCUAUAAGACUGGGAUAACUUCGGGAAACCGGAGCUAAUACCGGAUAAUAUAUUGAACCGCAUGGUUCAAUAGUGAAAGACGGUUUUGCUGUCACUUAUAGAUGGAUCCGCGCCGCAUUAGAUAGUUGGUAAGGUAACGGCUUACCAAGGCUACGAUGCGUAGCCGACCUGAGAGGCUGAUCGGCCACACUGGAACUGAGACACGGUCCAGACUCCUACGGGAGGCAGCAGUAGGGAAUCUUCCGCAAUGGGCGAAAGCCUGACGGAGCAACGCCGCGUGAGUGAUGAAGGUCUUCGGAUCGUAAAGCUCUGUUAGUAGGGAAGAACAGAUGUGUAAUUAGCUAUGGACGUCUUGACGGUACCUAAUCAGAAAGCCACGGCUAACUACGUG